rnacentral:rRNA from 1 species
GACGAACGCUGGCGGCGUGCUUAACACAUGCAAGUCGAACGGUGAAGCGCUUGCCUUUUUGGUGGGUGUGGAUGAGUGGCGAACGGGUGAGUAACACGUGAGUAACCUGCCCUCUUCUUCUGGAUAACCUCAUGAAAGUGGGGCUAAUACGGGGUAUUCCGGGUCUGUCGCAUGGCGGGUUUGGGAAAGAUUGCGCCUUUGGGUGUUUUCGGUGGGGGAUGGGCUCGCGGCCUAUCAGCUUGUUGGUGGGGUGAUGGCCUACCAAGGCGGUGACGGGUAGCCGGCCUGAGAGGGUGGACGGCCACACGGGGACUGAGACACGGCCCAGACUCCUGCGGGAGGCAGCAGUGGGGAAUAGUGCACAAUGGGCGCAAGCCUGAUGCAGCGACGCCGCGUGAGGGAUGGAGGCCUUCGGGUUGUGAACCUCUUUCGCCAGUGAAGCAGGCCUGCUCCUGUGUGGGUGGGUUGACGGUAGCUGGAGAAGAAGCGCCGGCUAACUACGUG